rnacentral:lncRNA from 15 species
CUUAAAGCAGUUUUAAGAAUAAAUGAGUCCCUUUUUAUGAUUAAGAGUAAUUCAUAAAGAAAGUACAGUGAGAUAGGGAUUAAGUCACGCUGCUGCAAUUCCACUUUUCAAACACCCUGUAACCUUCUCUCUUUUUGUCCUUCUUGCAUCAGCACUAUUUGUUGAAGAUCUUAACGAAAGACAAAGAAGCAAAUGUAUAUUUUAUGAAUGUGUGCCUCUGGUUUAUCUUCCUUUGUGGGGCUUGUGUAUACAAUCGAAACCAGCUCUCGAAGAGAAAAGUGCUUUUUCUUCUCCUGUCCCCCGAUGUCAACGACAAGGGCACUGCAUUGGCCUGCGGACGGUUCCUGGCAUGUCUGUGAAGUGUGGCGGUGCCCUGUGGGGAUGGGAAUGCACACACACACACACACACACACACCAGCCCCACCAGCAUCCCCCCUCGCAACAGCUGCCGUGCUGCAGGAGGCAGCCGUACCCCUCGCUGAUCAAAUCUUGUCCGUCACAUUUCCCCUAAUUAACGGGCAUCUGCUUCCCCCAUUUUCCCUACAUGGCUACACACUUUCCCUCUGUAGUUCCAAUCAUCUGAUCGUUAUGACCUUUAACCCCAUCCGAGCUCGUCCGCCUCAGAGCACGCCUGUGUUCGCCGCCCGCCUGGCUGCUCACAUCAGCCACCUUCCUUCCCGCUUACCUGCCAGCCACGUGCCAGCUGGGGAAACACAAGGGCACGCAAACAAACAAACCAAUGAGGCAGUAUUCAUCUGGAGGACAGACAUCACAUUUCCGUCUUUUACAGUGGUUAUGAUUCCUGCCAAACUUCUUGAGUUCACUCAUUUUCAAAAAAGAUUAAUUCACAAAGCAAAAUCUGAAAUUUACAAUGUGACAACUUUCUUUUCUACUUGGCUAUAGUAGGUUUUUAUUUCUGAAAUGGUCCAAACAAACCCUUAAAUCCUCAUGAAAUCCAAUUUUUUGUCCAAGAGAUUUAUAGCUCCUUCCUGUUCUAAAGAAAAUCUCAUCUCAUUUUGGUAAGGAAAACUUGCCUUACAGUUCUGUAAUGAUUUUUAUUUCACUAAGAGGAGUGACAUAAUUAAAGUGUGGUAAAAGCCUGGAUUAACACCAGUCACUCAGACCCCACAGCCAGUGAGGAAAUCUCUUUUUGUUGGAGGGUUUAUGUGUAAUGGUAGGGACAGAGGAUGAUGAUGAUGAUGAUGAUGAUGUGUGUGUGUGUGUGUGUGUGUGUGUGUGUGUGUGUGUGUGUGUGUGUGUGUGUGUGUGUGUGUGUGUGUGUGUGUGUGUGUGUGUGUGUGUGUGGUGUGUGUCUACGUUAGUACUAAAAUAGCACAGAUGCCGACGCGCACUACCUACUUUCCUU